rnacentral:rRNA from 1 species
GAUGAACGCUGGCGGCGUGCUUAACACAUGCAAGUCGAACGGUGAAGCCAAGCUUGCUUGGUGGAUCAGUGGCGAACGGGUGAGUAACACGUGAGCAAUAUGCCCUUGACUCUGGGAUAAGCGCUGGAAACGGCGUCUAAUACUGGAUAUGAGCUGUGGCCGCAUGGUCGGCAGUUGGAAAGAAUUUCGGUCAAGGAUGAGCCCGCGGCCUAUCAGCUUGUUGGUGAGGUAAUGGCUCACCAAGGCGUCGACGGGUAGCCGGCCUGAGAGGGUGACCGGCCACACUGGGACUGAGACACGGCUCAGACUCCUACGGGGGGCAGCAGUGGAGAAUAUUGCACAAUGGGCGCAAGCCUGAUGCAGCAACGCCGCGUGAGGGACGACGGCCUUCGGGUUGUAAACCUCUUUUAGCAGGGAAGAAGCGAAAGUGACGGUACCUGCAGAAAAAGCACCGGCUAACUACGUGCCAGCAGCCGCCGCAG